UCCUCAGUAGCUCAGUGGUAGAGCGUUCGGCUGUUAACCGAUUAGUCGUAGGUUCAAAUCCUACUUGGGGAG
rnacentral:tRNA from 1 species